CGAAAGUCAGAGGUUCGAAGGCGAUCAGAUACCGCCCUAGUUCUGACCGUAAACGAUGCCACCUGACGAUCCGCCAGGGUUACUACCAUGACUCGGCGGGCAGCCCCCGGGAAACCCAAGCCUUCGGGUUCCGGGGGAAGUAUGGUUGCAAAGCUGAAACUUAAAGGAAUUGACGGAAGGGCACCACCAGGAGUGGAGCCUGCGGCUUAAUUUGACUCAACACGGGGAACCUCACCCGGCCCGGACACCGCGAGGAUUGACAGAUUGAGAGCUCUUUCUCGAUUCGGUGGGUGGUGGUGCAUGGCCGUUCUUAGUUGGUGGAGCGAUUUGUCUGGUUAAUUCCGAUAACGAACGAGACUCUAGCCGGUUAAGUAGCCCGAGCGGUUUUUGAUCUUUGCCGUCCGUU
rnacentral:rRNA from 4 species